GAUGGACGCUGGCGGCGUGCCUAAUACAUGCAAGUCGAACGAAACUUCUUUAUCACCGAGUGCUUGCACUCACCGAUAAAGAGUUGAGUGGCGAACGGGUGAGUAACACGUGGGCAACCUGCCCAAAAGAGGGGGAUAACACUUGGAAACAGGUGCUAAUACCGCAUAACCAUAGUUACCGCAUGGUAACUAUGUAAAAGGUGGCUAUACUACCGCUUUUGGAUGGGCCCGCGGCGCAUUAGCUAGUUGGUAGGGUAAAGGCUUACCAAGGCAAUGAUGCGUAGCCGAAUUGAGAGGUUGAUCGGCCACAUUGGGACUGAGACACGGCCCAAACUCCUACGGGAGGCAGCAGUAGGGAAUCUUCCACAAUGGGCGAAAGCCUGAUGGAGCAACGCCGCGUGGGUGAAGAAGGUCUUCGGAUCGUAAAACCCUGUUGUUAGAGAAGAAAGUGCGUGAGAGUAACUGUCCACGUUUCGACGGUAUCUAACCAGAAAGCCACGGCUAACUACGUG
rnacentral:rRNA from 1 species